rnacentral:rRNA from 1 species
UACGUAGGUGGCAAGCGUUGUCCGGAUUUACUGGGCGUAAAGAGCGCGCAGGCGGUCGUUCAAGUCGCGUGUGAAAGCCCCCGGCUCAACUGGGGAGGGUCACGCGAUACUGAUCGACUCGAAGGCAGGAGAGGGUAGUGGAAUUCCCGGUGUAGUGGUGAAAUGCGUAGAUAUUCGCAAGAACACCAGUGGCGAAGGCGGCUCACUGGCCCGAUACUGACGCUGAGGCACGAAAGCGUGGGGAGCAAACAGG